UCUGAAACAUGCAAAGUUAGCCUGUAGCCGGACAAAAAUAUGCAGAAAUUUCCUGAUUUUAACUAGAUCAUAAGCCAAACAGUAACAAUAGGUUUGCAAUAAAAAUGCAUAAAAUAACCUUCUUAUCGAGUGUGAUUUUAUACUAACAUUCUAGUUCAUUCAGGUAUUAUUCAAAUCACAUAAAGGCAUCUGACAUAAUUUUGACGAGUACCGCCAUUGCAACAGUAGUAACACGCUUCUGACUCAAUUUGUAAAUUGACAAAAACAAGCGACUGCACAAUUUCGUAAUCAAGGCUUGUCAUUACAGAAACCUUCAUGGGCGAGUCCUUGCACUUGAUCACUUUUCUAUCGUAUUUUGUCUUGACGAUAUGUCGCCAUGAUAAAAGAAGUGAAGGACGACAGUUAAUCAUGGCGUCUUAUCCAUAGAUCAACAAAAAGAAAAAAUGUACCCAUUAUAAGUGAGUUGAAGGAAAUAUAAACGCGAACGAGUGAAGCUGCAAGCCAAGACCAUAAUUAAGCUAAUAAAAAUAUACUUACUUCGCUUCAGUUUUGGUAAAUCAACAGCUCCCCAUGUAUCCGCAGCCCAGUGCACCACGCCCGAAGCGAAAUCGGCGGUAAGAACACCAGCAACGGCGGCUAAUAGUAAAGAGGCAUCCGCCCGAAUAUGUCGGGCCAUCAGAAUGCCUG